ACUCAAAUGAAUUGACGGGGGCCCGCACAAGCGGUGGAGCAUGUGGUUUAAUUCGACGCAACGCGAAGAACCUUACCUGGGCUCGAACGGCUGCCGACGGCUGGUUGAAAGGCCGGCUUUCCCGCAAGGGACGGUAGUCGAGGUGCUGCAUGGCUGUCGUCAGCUCGUGUCGUGAGAUGUUGGGUUAAGUCCCGCAACGAGCGCAACCCUUGUCCUGUUUUGGCAUGCGUCACGCAAGUGGCGCGCAACUAUCAGGAGACCGCCAGCGAUAAGCUGGAGGAAGGUGGGGAUGACGUCAAGUCAUCAUGGCCUUUAUGUCCAGGGCUACACACGUGCUACAAUGGGCGGUACAAAGCGCUGCCAACCCGCGAGGGGGAGCUAAUCGCAAAAAACCGUCCUCAGUUCGGAUCGCAGGCUGCAACUCGCCUGCGUGAAGCUGGAAUCGCUAGUAAUGGUAUAUCAGAACGAUACCGUGAAUACGUUCCCGGGCCUUGUACACACCGCCCGU
rnacentral:rRNA from 1 species